AGCAGCCGCGGUAAUUCCAGCUCCAAUAGCGUAUAUUAAAGUUGUUGCAGUUAAAAAGCUCGUAGUUGAAUUUCGGGAUCAAUACGUCGGUCGUGCUUCGGUACGUACUGGCGUCAUUGGUUUCUCCCUUCUGACGAACCAUGAUGUCAUUAAUUUGGUGUUAUGGGAAAUCAGGACUGUUACUUUGAAAAAAUUAGAGUGUUUAAAGCAGGCUCACGCUUGAAUACAUUAGCAUGGAAUAAUGAAAUAGGACGUUCGAUCCUAUUUUGUUGGUUUUAGGAUCAACGUAAUGAUUAAUAGGGAUAGUUGGGGGCAUUAGUAUUCAAUUGUCAGAGGUGAAAUUCUUGGAUUUAUUGAAGACUAACUACUGCGAAAGCAUUUGCCAAGGAUGUUUUCAUUAAUCAAGAACGAAAGUUAGGGGAUCGAAGACGAUCAGAUACCGUCGUAGUCUUAACCAUAAACUAUGCCGACUAGGGAUCGGAUGAUGUUAAUUUUUUAAUGACUCAUUCGGCGCCUUACG
rnacentral:rRNA from 1 species